rnacentral:lncRNA from 1 species
AGGGUAUUAUACACAAGAAAACCUUUUCUUAUUCUGCGUCUUGAUCGGAUUGGAGUUGAUCAACUCUUGUCUUCUCCCUUGAUCAGCAUCUGGUCCAAACUUGAUCUGCAUCGCAUUGACUCUUGAAUGUAACGAAUCCCUCUCAAACCUAAACUAUCAUUUUCCUUAUUAAUUUUACAACAAUAACCUUACAACUCAUAAAAUUAAUGAGACACACAGGUCUCCAAAUUACAUGAUUUAAUUGAUACACGCAAGGACCUAAAAAAAAUAAUCUAAUACUGGGUCCUUCUUAAAUUACAACAAUUCACAUCAUUACAUGAUACAUGCACAUCACAAGGUCGCUAUCCAUGAUCACCAUCUCAUACACAUCACAUGCAUAUAAUAUUAAAUUCUCUAAUUCGAAUUUAAUUAAUUGGGUUUCGGAUUAAUUAAAAAACAAAUCUUUAUUU